rnacentral:rRNA from 1 species
AGCAUGUGGUUAAUUCGAUGAUACGCGAGGAACCUUACCUGGGCUCGAACGUAAGAUGACUGUAGGUGAAAGCUUACAUCUCUUCGGAGCAUUUUACGAGGUGCUGCAUGGUUGUCGUCAGCUCGUGCCGUGAGGUGUCGGGUUAAGUCCCAUAACGAGCGCAACCCCUACCUUUAGUUGCCAUCAGGUUAAGCUGGGGACUCUAAAGGAACUGCCUACGCAAGUAGUGAGGAAGCGGGGAUGACGUCAAAUCAGCACGGCCCUUACGUCCAGGGCUACACACGUGCUACAAUGGCCGAUACAGAGGGCAGCUACCUGGUGACAGGAUGCAAAUCUCCAAAGUCGGUCUCAGUUCGGAUCGGAGUCUGCAACCCGACUCCGUGAAGUUGGAUUCGCUAGUAAUCGCGCAUCAGCCAUGGCGCGGUGAAUACGUUCCCGGGCCUU